GACGAACGCUGGCGGCGUGCUUAACACAUGCAAGUCGAACGGUAAGGCCCUUCGGGGUACACGAGUGGCGAACGGGUGAGUAACACGUGGGUGAUCUGCCCUGCACUUCGGGAUAAGCCUGGGAAACUGGGUCUAAUACCGGAUAGGACCACUGCCUGCAUGGGUGGUGGUGGAAAGCUUUUGCGGUGUGGGAUGGGCCCGCGGCCUAUCAGCUUGUUGGUGGGGUGUUGGCCUACCAAGGCGACGACGGGUAGCCGGCCUGCGAGGGUGACCGGCCACACUGGGACUGAGAUACGGCCCAGACUCCGACGGGAGGCAGCAGUGGGGAAUAUUGCACAAUGGGCGCAAGCCUGAUGCAGCGACGCCGCGUGAGGGAUGACGGCCUUCGGGUUGUAAACCUCUUUCAGCACCGACGAAGCGCAAGUGACGGUAGGUGCAGAAGAAGGACCAGCCAACUACGUGCCAGCCGCCGCCGUAA
rnacentral:rRNA from 1 species